UACAGAGGUCUCAAGCGUUGUUCGGAUUCAUUGGGCGUAAAGGGUGCGUAGGUGGCGCUGUAAGUCGGGUGUGAAAUCCUGGGGCUUAACCCCGGAACUGCAUUCGAUACUGCAGUGCUUGAGGACUGGAGAGGAGACUGGAAUUCAUGGUGUAGCAGUGAAAUGCGUAGAGAUCAUGAGGAAGACCAGUGGCGAAGGCGGGUCUCUGGACAGUUCCUGACACUGAGGCACGAAGGCCAGGGGAGCAAACGGGG
rnacentral:rRNA from 1 species